rnacentral:ncRNA from 1 species
CCCCGUGACUGACGGAUAAGGUGGGAAACCACCGGGGAGCGGGGGAGGCCAAUCAAUGCCGUCCGUCUGGGCAGU